rnacentral:rRNA from 1 species
GACGAACGCUGGCGGCGCGCUUAACACAUGCAAGUCGAGCGAUGAAACUUUAACAGCACCCUUCGGGGCGAAGAUAAAGUGGAUUAGCGGCGGACGGGUGAGUAACACGUGAGUAACCUGCCUUAGACAUUGGGAUAGCCUCGGGAAACCGGGAUUAAUACCAAAUAAAAUCAUAAUGACACAUGUCAUAACGAUCAAGACUCCGGUGGUCUAAGAUGGACUCGCGUCCCAUUAGCUAGUUGGUAGAGUAAAAGCCUACCAAGGCGACGAUGGGUAGCCGGCCUGAGAGGGUGAACGGCCACAUUGGAACUGAGAAACGGUCCAAACUCCUACGGGAGGCAGCAGUGGGGAAUAUUGCACAAUGGAGGGAACUCUGAUGCAGCGACGCCGCGUGAACGAAGAAGGCUUUCGAGUCGUAAAGUUCUUUUAUAUGGGAAGAUAAUGACGGUACCAUAAGAAAAAGCCCCGGCUAACUACGUG